GUUGGUGAACCAGCGGAAGGAUCAUUAAAGAGAUCAUGCCCUCCGGGGUAGACCUCCCACCCUGUGUUAUUUAUCCGCGUUGCUUCGGCGGGCCGCGCCCGUCAGAGGACCCCAACCCCAACUCCGCGUUAAAUGUCGUCUGAGCAAAACAAAAUAAGUUAAAACUUUCAACAACGGAUCUCUUGGUUCUGGCAUCGAUGAAGAA
rnacentral:misc_RNA from 1 species